CUUCCUCGAUCUGCUGCGGGCAGAUGAAAUGGAUAUGCGCGUCCAUGCCCCCCGCGGUGAUGAUCUUGCCCUCGCCGGCAAUUGCUUCAGUCGAGGGCCCGAUGAUGAUGUCGAUACCCGGCUGCGUAUCGGGAUUGCCGGCCUUGCCGAUGCCGACGAUCACGCCGUUCUUGAGCCCGAUAUCGGCCUUGUAGAUGCCGGUGUGAUCAACGAUCAGCGCAUUGGUGAUGACGGUAUCGACCGCGCCCUCGGCGCGCGUGCGCUGCGAUUGGCCCAUGCCGUCGCGGAU
rnacentral:sRNA from 1 species